rnacentral:RNase_P_RNA from 1 species
GGUAGAGGUAUACUCAUCAGAGUGCUGAAUCACUCCCUUGCCCUUGAAAAGGUCUGAUACUGAGGCCACUUGUGGCCCUAAUGGGGCCCUCCCAGAGCAGAAAGAUGAGUUCCCAGCAGAGCUUUAUGCCGGGAGCUGCCUGGGCGGGAAAAUCCACACUGCAGGCAGGCAGAUGCCACCUUUACCCAAGCCUGGAACAGAAUCAUAGCCAGCCCAGUGAGUUCAAUGGCUGAGUUGAUAAAUCUUGUGAGCCUCAGAACCCAAUUCAGACUACUCUCCCAUGCC